CUACGGGUGGCACCAGUGGGGAAUAUUGCACAAUGGGCGCAAGCCUGAUGCAGCCAUGCCGCGUGUAUGAAGAAGGCCUUCGGGUUGUAAAGUACUUUCAGCGGGGAGGAAGGGAGUAAAGUUAAUACCUUUGCUCAUUGACGUUACCCGCAGAAGAAGCACCGGCUAACUCCGUGCCAGCAGCCGCGGUAAUACGGAGGGAGCAAGCGUUAAUCGGAAUUACUGGGCGUAAAGCGCACGCAGGCGGUUUGUUAAGUCAGAUGUGAAAUCCCCGGGCUCAACCUGGGAACUGCAUCUGAUACUGGCAAGCUUGAGUCUCGUAGAGGGGGGUAGAAUUCCAGGUGUAGCGGUGAAAUGCGUAGAGAUCUGGAGGAAUACCGGCGGUGAAGGCGGCCCCCUGGACGAAGACUGACGCUCAGGUGCGAAAGCGUGGGGAGCAAACAGGAUUAGAUACCCCUGUAGUC
rnacentral:rRNA from 1 species